rnacentral:lncRNA from 1 species
GGCUUAUUGGGUAGAGAUUUUAAGGAAAAGACUGAAAAGACUGCAUGUUUCGACAAUGCGUGGAAAAGGUUGGUGGAUAUUACAGAUUGUUCCCACUUUCCAUCUUCCCAUAAUAUAAAGCAAGAUCCUUCCUCAUGCGAAAUCAUCUGAACUUAGGGAGGAAGGUGAGCUCGAAUGGGGGUUAGUGUGUGACUCUGACGGCAGGUCAAGAAGAACAAUUCGCAAAAGCAGAGGAGCUUCAGCUGAACGGGGGUCUGCACAGGCCACUCAGCCUUCAAGCUCAGGAACUAGUGAGAAGACCAACCAAGCAGAUCUGAAGUGCCUUUUCCAGGGCAAAUGCUGGCAUCCUUGA